GGCCACGGUCCAGAAGAAGGAGCUGGUGUUGGAGAAAGUGGAAAAGGCUCCUUGCGUCACGCAGUCCCAAGUGUUCGCUUUAAAAACUUUAUAAACUCCGUACGAGUAAGAGACGGCUGAGAUUAAAUCAGCUACCGAGAGGAAGACUAACAGCUGUCUCGGUGUGGUUCUUAAAUCGGGCCACAGCGCGUACGUGCUAAUAACCAGCACAGAGCCCAAGACCGAGAGAGCACAAGACAACAAUAUUACAACCUGCUCAUACACAGCCACGUCCUCCUGCUCCCACCACACCGCCAUGACUUCCUCAAACAACCCCUGUGAGGACAGAAGACCGGAUUAGGGCUGGAUUUCAUGCGUAAAAUCUCAGGAAAGUCAGUCUGGCGUCUCCAUUUCACUUGGUUUCGUCGAACGUCGCGUUUUGUUUUUUAACCUACGACUGCAGAAAUGCUGAUUGGUCAGCAGAAGCUCUUAGUUGUGAAGCUGCAAGACAUCAGAGUGAAGACAAAUAGUACAUGUUCCAGCAACACCUCUCAGAUAAAUGUUUCCUUUACAUCAGACACAGUACUACACAACAUCCGAGCAGUUCUUUCCCCAAAGGUCUUGAAUCCUCGAUAAACAACUAAGCACCACUGACCUUCCAUUUACUCUGUAGUGUUGUAUGCAGACUUUUGUAUUUGUAGUGUGUUUAUUAUAUUUUAUAAAUUUCCUGUUUAAA